GAGGAUGCAGCAGAUUGGCAGGGCAAUAAUGGUAUGCUGUUGUUUGAGUCUGUCAUUGAACUAAGUCUUCCACUGAUUGCAGCAGGGGAGACUAUAAGCUGUAAGAUUCUUACCAUUGCAACAGGUGUUCGGUCUUUGAUCUUGAAGAAUUUGAAGUGAGUGGAUCAAAUGUUGAAAAUGUUUGUUCUUUAUGAGAUUUAACUGAUGCGUGUAAAAGAGGGUGCUGGAAUCCCAAGGAGAAUGAGAUGAAAUUGGGCAAAGACAGAGGAAGAAAAUAUGGUUCCUGUCCACAAAGAAGCUGAGCAUGGGAAUAUAUGUGCGAACCAUGUCUGAAUUCUUCUGAGUUCCUUGAGGACAAGGAACUUCUUGAGGGGAAUGCAUUGAUAUGAUACAUUUGGCAACAAAAAAUGUAGGGGAAAGGAAUAUAAACAUUCUGAAGUUGUUAUGCUUUCUGUUGCAGUAUAGGCGGACCUGGUAGAUGAUUAGUUAGGAAAUCUGUUACUUCUGCACGUGGCUGAGUGAUUAGCUAUAAUAAGUGAGAUUCUGUAAGGCUAGGCAUGCUUGUAAUUCCGAUUGUUGAAAAGAUUCCUUUCUUUGAUUUGUGUUCUCAGUUUCUCUCCUUUCUUUGUAUGUAUUCUUGAAUAUCUGUUUUUUGCUUUCUUCUUCUUUCUGGG
rnacentral:misc_RNA from 1 species